AAGACUGUGCUUCACAGGGUCAUUUCUGUAGGCAAGUUUUCACCACAAGUUUUUUUUUCCGAAUGGAAAAGAUUUCUCACCCACGAUGAUGAGACAUAGUGAUCAGUCUGGAGCGUGAAACUCGAUUCGGGGAUGCUUUAUCGGUCUCCGGUAGAGCCCCGAAUCACUGAUGAUCGGGCUCUUCUGCAAAGACUGGUCACUGUCUGAGUGGU